ACCUUCGUCUAGCCCGGUCAAUUAAAGCCGUUAGGACGUGACCUUCUCGAGGUCGAAACCUGGGUUCAAAUCCCAGAGGGAGCA
rnacentral:tRNA from 1 species